GAGGUUAAGUGAACACAAAGCAGAUGUAGCCAAAGGAAGAAUGAAUACGGCGCUGGCAUCCUGCGCGUACGAAAACGAUGUGCAGAUAUACUGGAAAGAUGCUAAGAUAGUAAAACCGCUACCGAAAGAGAGACAUGCAAUUAUGGCUGAAACUAUUCAGAUCUUUACCAGAAGUGGGAAGCAAGACUUAGUGAAUGACUACCCUACGAAAGAAUUAGCGGCGCUGUGGAAGUAUCUUUUAACUAACGUGACCCAUUAGUUCUAUGUGAUCAUUACUAGUAAGGAGGCUAACUUCCAACUCCCAUAUAAGAACAUUGAAUUUAGGAAUUUUUAGCUAGCUUUGUAUGCUUUUAUUUAUGUUUAUUCGCUUAUUUUAUUUAUAUACUUACCCG
rnacentral:lncRNA from 1 species